UUUAAGCCUGUGGCCAAUUCUUCCCUCCUCCAUCACAAAGAAAGAAGUGUAUCUCCAUGUGUUUGUUGUAGAAACUGCUUCGUAUACAAAGUCCAGUGGAAAUCAUGCAUGGCAAGGAAUUGGAAGGAUUUUCCCUGCCUCUGCUGUCCAUCCCCUCAGCAGGGAAUUUGCUGUGUGAUGUUGCAGUGAAAGUUUUGUUAUGGAUGUAUAUUUGCUGCUGGCUUCUGCUGCUUCAUGCAUCUGUCUUCAUGCCGGGCUGCAGGAGGGAUAAGUCAGAGUGCAGCACCUGGGGAAAAAACAGCGCCAUCCCAGGUAAUGAGAGAUGACUACUCUGGCAACUCCCAGUGGCUGUUUUUUGGCAGCAGCAGCCCCAGGAGAAGGCUAAUGGAGGGACCAGGGCAAGACAGAUCACGAACCUGGAGUGCACGAGUCUGAUGCACACCUCUGCAAGUCAAGGUUACCAUCAGAACUACUUACAGCUACAGGUGAUUGCUGAAUAUACUGGAAUCACUGAAUUCAUGCAUCUGAAUCCUAAUAAGAACAUAAAAGCACGAAGGGAUGUUGGAGGAUGUGGCUGGUCACUGGCAGGGGAAAAGAAGAUACUGCAGUCCGCCAAGGUGAGCCAUACUAGGACAAGAUUAUCUUUCCUGUCAUGUACUUUCCAAGCUACAGCUC
rnacentral:lncRNA from 12 species